rnacentral:ncRNA from 1 species
AUUUAUUUUUUAGUAGUGGAUUUGAACGUCAUCACUGGGCGACACACGUGCUACAAUGACCGGGAUAAAGGGUUGUGAUCCUGCGAGGAUGAGCUAACCCCAAAAACUUGUCCUUAGUUCGGAUUGCAGGCUGCAACUCGCGUUCAUAAAGUCGAAAUUGUCGAUAAGCCAUACGACGGUGACUUAAUUCC